AGUGAACGCUGGCGGUAGGCCUAACACAUGCAAGUCGAACGGCAGCACAGUAAGAGCUUGCUCUUACGGGUGGCGAGUGGCGGACGGGUGAGGAAUACAUCGGAAUCUACUUUUUCGUGGGGGAUAACGUAGGGAAACUUACGCUAAUACCGCAUACGACCUACGGGUGAAAGUAGGGGAUCUUCGGACCUUGCGCGAUUGAAUGAGCCGAUGUCGGAUUAGCUAGUUGGCGGGGUAAAGGCCCAUCAAGGCGACGAUCCGUAGCUGGUCUGAGAGGAUGAUCAGCCACACUGGAACUGAGACACGGUCCAGACUCCUACGGGAGGCAGCAGUGGGGAAUAUUGGACAAUGGGCGCAAGCCUGAUCCAGCCAUACCGCGUGGGUGAAGAAGGCCUUCGGGUUGUAAAGCCCUUUUGUUGGGAAAGAAAAGCAGCAGGUUAAUACCCCGCUGUUCUGACGGUACCCAAAGAAUAAGCACCGGCUAACUUCGUG
rnacentral:rRNA from 1 species